ensembl:lncRNA
AAGCAAGGGCUUUAGUGUGGCUUCCAAGCUGAGGGCGACCUUGGGACUUCGGAUAUUUCAGGCUGUGUUCACACGUAAAUUUUAAUCCAUCUUCAGUCCAUCUUCAGAGUGAAAGAACACAUAUUUCCAAACUAUCUAAUCCAAUAUGGAUUUUCUGAAUUAGACAAUGCUGAAGGAAAACAGCUGGUCACUUUGCUGAUGUNUUCUCUCAUUCUGAAAGUGGACUGAAGCUGGAUUAAAUUUUAGGAACAAAACAAAGAAGCCAGUCAGAUGAUCGGUAUUUGUUCUUUAGAUUUGGUUGCCUCGUUUGAAAUGAAGCAAAACAAAACGUAAAGGGAAUCGAGUCUGAUACAAUCUACAGGUAUUAAAUUGAAAACACAAUCAAUGCAGGUGAUUACAGCUUUCGGCGCACGUUAACUGCUUUUCAGAUUAAACUACAGUGCUUUGACAGGCNAGCCUUUGGGAUUUUAAUCCCGGUUUUUGGACGGGAUUUGUUUCCUUCCGCAGUGUGCCUCCUCCUCCUCCUUUCUCUCGUCUUUCCGUCGGAAGCCGCCCUUCUUUUCGGCGGCGUCUGCCAAAAUCGGGUGCUUCGCUCUCCUCCUCCUCGCCUGUGGCCUGCGUAGCGCAACGCAGCGCAUCGCCCUUACCAACGCAACCCAAACGCCCCUCUCGGAGGGGGCGGCUCCUUUACGAAGCGGGGGAAACCCAAACUGUUUAUGUAGCUGCAACAACAAAAAAGUGGCAUUCUUAUCCAAAAUUAUUUGAAGAUUUCAGGCCUUUUGCUGACAUCAGGGAAGGUAAUCCAACAGCAGCCAAUGAAGCUUCCCUAAAGUGGGCAUAUUUUCCCAGGGUGGACCACAUUCUCAUCUUGAGUGAGAACAACCAGAUCAGCCCUUCAGUAUACAAAGAGAGACCUUGGGGAAGAUUAAGGCAUGCCAACAUAUGUAUCCCAUAA